UGGGGAAUUUUGGACAAUGGGGGAAACCCUGAUCCAGCCAUCCCGCGUGUGCGAUGAAGGCCUUCGGGUUGUAAAGCACUUUUGGCAGGAAAGAAACGUCAUGGGUUAAUACCCCGUGAAACUGACGGUACCUGCAGAAUAAGCACCGGCUAACUACGUGCCAGCAGCCGCGGUAAUACGUAGGGUGCAAGCGUUAAUCGGAAUUACUGGGCGUAAAGCGUGCGCAGGCGGUUCGGAAAGAAAGAUGUGAAAUCCCAGAGCUCAACUUUGGAACUGCAUUUUUAACUACCGGGCUAGGGUGUGUCAGAGGGAGGUGGAAUUCCGCGUGUAGCAGUGAAAUGCGUAGAUAUGCGGAGGAACACCGAUGGCGAAGGCAGCCUCCUGGGAUAACACUGACGCUCAUGCACGAAAGCGUGGGGAGCGAACAGG
rnacentral:rRNA from 1 species